rnacentral:lncRNA from 1 species
AUUUAUUUUAACAUUCAGUUGUUUUAUCUUUACCAGAUGGGAACCGAUAGCCAAAACCAGAUUCUUUUAGAACAUACUGCUCUGAGAGAAACAGUUAAUGCUUUGAUCAGUGACCAAAAGCUACAAGAGAUAUUCAGCCGAGGUAAGAACAGGUAGUCUUCUGUCCCUGAACUCUGAAUCAGGUGAAUUGUCAGUUUUGAAUGAUAUAAUGGGACAUCAUGUAGCUUUAAACAUUUGUCCUCAUCCUCUUUUUGUGAGUAGAGACGAAAGUAUCUCCGAUUAGCUAAAUCUCCAAAUAAACUAGAAAAAUAGGAUCUCUCCAAGACCAUUGUUUUCUCUCUCUCUCUUUUUUUUUUUUUUUAAUAUUUUUUUUAUUUGUUGAUGGACCUUUAUUUUAUUUUAUUUUUUGUGGUGCUGGAAAUCAAACCCAGUGCCCUGCAUGUACGAGGCAAGCGCUCCACUGCUAAUCUACAACUCCAGCCCCCCAUUGUUUUCUCUUCAUUGUACUUUUCAUAAACCAUAGUUUUGUUGUAAGCUUAGUUUUUUUUCCCCAUUUUUAAAAUAUUUAUUAAGGACACUAGAAAUAUUUAUUUAAAAACAUGCACUAGAAACAAUGUUAAGGCACUAAUGAUCUAGCCAGUAGCUAGAAAAUCUUUACCUAUUUUUUUUUUUUUUUAAUACACCCAAGGGCGCUUAACCACUGAGCCACAUCCCUAGCCCUUUUUUUUAAUUAUUUUUUAUUUUGAGACAGACUCACUAAGUUGUUUAGGGCCUUGCAAUCCUCCUGACUCAGCCUCCUGAGUUGCUGAAAUUACACACAUGUGCCAUUGUGCCUAGAGCUGACUCUGCUUUUUUUGAAUUUACUAUCUGCAGGUUUCUAAAAAAUCUAGGACUAGCUGGGUGUAGUGGCUUACACCACUAAUUUGGGCAACUUGGACAGCUGAGGCAGGAUUGCAAGUUCCAGGCCUAUCUCAGCAAUUUAGUGAAACCCUCAGUAACCUAGUGAGAUUCUGUCGCAAAAUAAAAAAUAGAAAGGUCUGGGGAUGUAGCUCAGAAAUGAAGCACUCCUGCGUUCAAUCCUCAUUACCAAAAAGAAAAAGCUAAAGACUCUUAACACCAACAUAUAACUUAGAGUGCAAAGUAUGUUCAUAAAACAAUGCAUCCACAGACUUAUUCACAUGAAUAGUAUGCUUUAAGUAUAAAUAAAUGAACAUAGGGUGUAGCUCAGUGGUAGAGUGCUUUUGCCCAACAUGCCAUAGCCCCUGGGUUUGAUCCUUAGUAACAAACAAACAAACAAAAACAGAAAGAAGAAUUAUUAGUUUUCAAGUUCAGAUACCGGUUUUGCCUCAAGAGUCUAUACGAAGAGUAAACUACUUCAUUUAUCCUUCCUUUCAUGUCAUGCAUUCACUCACCUUCAUUUCUGGGCCUUAUGAUAAUCAUUAUUUUUAGUGAAGUAGUGUCCUUGGUUCUAUUUUUGUCAAAUAAAUCUAAACAGGUGAAGUUAAGAAUACUGACCUAAUGGAGAAAAAAAGAUAUCAGGAUAAAAUGAUGUUUAAUAAACAAGGAAUGAUAUAGAGGAAGAAAGAAUGUGAGGAAAAAUUAGUAACAGAAGAAAAUUGAGUGGACAAAAUGAGAGGUGGUGAUAUGUGAGUAUAUACAGAGAAAUUAAGGAAACUUAAUUAUAGCUCUAAGAAAAUAAUCUAAAAUUAGUAAUGCUUUAGCUAUAUAGUCUCAAAUGUACAAUGAUAUGUGGGAGAGAGAAACUGUCCUUGGAAAGACCAGCUGAAAUUGCAGGGUAACAUUACCUGCUGAUAAAGUAAUAUUUUUGAAACUCUGUGUUCCUAGGAAGACAGGUGCUAUAUUUGUUCAGACUAUUAUUAGUGCAGAGGCUAGAAACCUCAUAAAUUGAACUCUCAGCUGUUAUUGAAAGUCAGAUAGCAGAAUGUUAAUGAUUAUGUAUCAUUCCUGUGGUGGUUUAUCCUAAUAGCACAUCCAAUGGGACUGGGGGUUUAGCUUAGUGGCAGACAUGUACAAGGCUCUGGGUUUGAUCCUCUGCAGCACAAAUAAAAAAGAAAAAGAGUACAUUCAACUUAGUGGUCUCCUACUUUUUUCAUACACAUGUCAGGUAUAUGAGUAAAUUUCCAUAUUACUUGUUGUUGUUGUUGUUGUUUUAAUUUGUAAGUUUCUUUCCCUUUGAAUAUUACAAUUAUUAAAUUGUUGAAUAUAGGGGCUAGGGAUGUUGCUCAAUAUCAGAGUGCUUCCCUGGGAUGUAUGAGGACAAGGGUUCUAUCCCAACAUCUCAAAAAGACUCAAUGCUGAGUGUGGUAAAUCUAGAAUUGCUACUUUGUUAGCUCUGUCAAGGGGCAGAUAUUUGAAAGUGCCAAGUAUUUCCAUCAUGUAGUUUUCCUUUUGCUUUCAGAAACAGUUAUGAAACAUAACUUAGCCAAAAAUACAGUUUUGACUGAUCUCUUUUUUAGGUCCCUACAGUGUUCAAGGUCACAGGGUCAAAGUGUACCAGCCAGAGGGGGAAGAAGGGUGGAUCUAUGGUGUCGUAAGUCAUCAGGACUCCAUCACCCGUCUUAUGGAUGUGUCUAUAACUGAGGUGAGGCUGUGUUAAUUCCAUCUAAAUUCUAUCAGUCCCCUUACAGAGCAUGGUGUAAAGAAUGUGAAUACUUUAUCCCUGGCUCUUAUCAUUUAAUGAUUGUAUAACCCUUAGAAGGGGUGUGCAACUUUAUCAUCCCACUGUUCUCAUCUUUAAGUUAGAAGUAAUUGUGUAAAACCCCACUUACCUCACAAUACUGUUUUGAAGACUGAAAUAAUAUAUUUAAAAGUGCUUUGAAAUCUGUAAAACAAUAUGCAGUUGUAAGGUGGUAAUAUUUAUCAUAUUCAUAACAGUUUGUAUUAAAGACCAAUUAGUUAGCAUUGGCUUCUGUAUUACUUUUGCCACUAUAUCCUAGAUGCUGAAAAAAAUUGCUUUUAAUGAACAGAAAAGAACCUAACACCUAAGAGAUACCUGGAGAAUUAUUUAGGAGAAACAGUAGAUGAGUGUUUCUUUUUUUUUUAAUUUAUUUUUUUGGUUGUAGUUGUUAUUUAUUUCUUUCUUUAAUUUUUUUAAAAGUUAAAUAAAUCUUCAUUUAAAAAUUUCAAAAAACAUACAUACAUAAACUAGAUAAUGAAAGCCAACCUUUCCCCUAUGUAAAUGUCACUCAGUGGCAACCACCAUUAACAGUUUGGUAUAUAUUCCAUAUUCUUUUUAUUUUUUGUUUAUUUAUUUUUAGUAUUUAUUUUUAUGUGGUGCUGAGGAUGGUACCCAGUGCCUCACACAUGCUAGACAAGUGCUCUCCCAUUAAGCUAUAUUCCAUAUUCUUCCAAAUAUUUUCUAUAUAUGUAUUUCUGUAGGUUAUAUAGUGUAUCUUAUUUACUUAAUUGUAUAUAACCUCCAUUUUUUUUUUCUUUUUUUUUUUUUUCCUGAUACUGGGGACUGAACCCAGGGGCACUUUACCGCUGAGCUACAUCUCCAGCGUUUUUCUUUUUUGUUGUUGUUGUUUUUUUUUUGUUACUUUGAGAUAGUGUCUUGCUAAAUUGCCAAGGUUGGCCUCAAACUUGCAAUCCUCCUGCCUCAGUCUCCUAAGUUGUUUGGAUUACAAAUAUGUGCCACUAUACUUGGUUUAUAACAAGCAUUUUUAAUCUUUAUUUGUGAAUAUAGAGAUGUGAAUUUUUUUUUUUUUUUUUUUUUUUCUCCUUUAUGGUACUGGGGAUUGACAAUACCCCAGCAGUUCUUUUCACUGAGCUACAUUCUGGGCCUUUUUAAAUUUUUAUCUUGAGACAUGAUCUCGCUAAGUUGCUGAGGCUGGCCUUGAACUUGGAAUUCUUCUGCCUUAGUCUCUCAAUUUGCUGGAAUUAGAGACAUGUGCCACUGUGCCCAGCUGACUUAUUCCUUUAAAAUAGAUGUGUGCUAUUCCAAAAAAUGAAUAUAUCAUAGCUAGUUUAAUCUAAAAUUGAAGGACAUUUAAAUCUUUGCCAGUAUUUUCACUAAUACAGAUGAUGACACAGUGAACAUACUUGAACAUCCUUUCACAUUUAUGAUUUAUUGGAAUAAAUUCCUUGGUUUGUAAUUGCUAAGUUAAAAGAUAUACAUAGUAAAAAAAAAUUUUGUGUGUGUGUUGUUGUACUGGGAAUUGAACUCAGGACCUCAUACAUGCUAGGCAAGUGCUCUACAACUGAGCUAUAUCCCCAGCCCUACACAGUAAAUUUGAUGUUUUAUGUCAAAGUACUCCCUCUCCUAAAGUUUGUAUUCUUUAGUAGUAAAGUAGGUUUGUUUGUUUUGGGUGUUUUUUAUUGUUUUGGUUUUUGUGGGUUUGGGGUUUUUUGUUUUGUUUUGUUUUGUUGGUGGUACUGGGAAUUAAUCCCAGGGUCUCAAAUAUGCUCUAUCACUGAGCUACAUCCCCAGCCCUAUAUAAUGAUUUUUGUAAUGAUUGUUGUUGGUUCUGAAGAUUUUUGAUUUCAUAAUAUACUGAAUAGGAAUGUUUUUGAUAUGGAAUAUUUCAAAUUAAAAUCCCUAAAAGACAUACUUGAGCAUUAAACUCAAUUGUUCCUUUUAUUCAUGAACUUAACAAAUAUAUUAAUGCUCACCAUAUUCCACACCGUGUUUCAGAUAUCCUUACUAUAGCAGUGAUUGAGACAGUAAAUAUCCCUUCUCUCAUGGAGCUUUCUUCUAAUAAGGGAAUAGAAGCAAUAAAGAGAUACUUACAUAGAUUAGGAAAAUGUUAAGUCUUGGUGAAUAAAGCAUUAAAUAAUCUCUCUCCCCCACCCUUUUCCCAUAUGUUCUGCUAUCCUGCUGCUACCAUAGAGUGGUGAGAUCAAGUCAGUAGAUCCCAGACUCAUCCAUGUGAUGCUGAUGGAUAACACAACGCCUCAAAAUGAGGUACAGUAAACAACUGAGUCUCUGAGAAGACUCAUGAGCUUGCAUUUUCUUGUUAUGUGGUUUCCUUUUACAUGGGUGCUGCUUGGGUUGUUCAGAUGGACUGUCUUGGUAAGGGUGGAUGGUGUCAAGAAAGAGACCUAGUUUGAGUAAACCCUUUCAAUUUGACUUGUUCUAUAGUUGUUAUAAAGUCUUAAGUCCUAACUUUCUUUUAUAUUUUCUUAAGUAUAUUUGAAAGAGGUAGUAGUUAAAACUGCAAUAAAUGGUAGUAAUAAUCAUGACCUUACCAGUAACUAGAUAUGGAAGAAAAGCUACAUCCUCUUUUUUCCUAUUAGGUGGCACUGAGCUCCAACAGAGUCUUUUUUACUUUUUAUCUUGAGACAGGAUCUCGCUAAGUUGCUGAGGCUGGCCUUGAACUUAGCAUUCUUCUGCCUUAGUCUCUCAACUUGCUGGAAUUAGAGGCAUGUGCCACAAUAGAUGUAUGCUAUUCCAAAAGAUGAAUAUAUCAUAACUAAUUUAAUCUAAAAUUGGAGGACAUUUAAAUCAUUGCCAGUAUUUUCACUAAUACAAAUGACAACACAAUGAACAUACUUGAACAUCCUUUCACAUUUAUUGUUUAUUGGAAUUAAUUCCUUGGUUUGCAAUUGCUAAGUUAAUAGAUAUACAUAGUAAAAAAAAAUUUUUUGUGUGAGUUAUUGUACUGGAGAUUGAACUCAGGACCUCAUACAUGCUCAUAUAUUCCCAAGUAGAAUCAAAUGAACAGGUGCCUAGUUCAGUGCUUAGCACACAGUGGAUUAUUCUAUAAUUAUAGACUAAGCCAACACUUGGUUCAUUUAGAAUUAUUAUAGCCAAAAAUAAAUAAAUAAGCGCAUUAUAAAUCUUUACCUGAACCAAUAAGGAAUCCUGUGUGAGUAUCCUUCAGUAAAUCAACUGUCCACACAUGCCUCAUAGUAUCUUAUCACCUCUAUAAAUAUUGCUUUCUUGCUGAGUAUAUAGUCCUUCAUCAUCUUUUUUAUUAGUUAUUCUUGAUUUAAAAAAAAAAAAGAUCAGACUAAGAAAGGAAGAAUCAGUAUUAAAUUUAAUAGCUUUUUAUUUAUGUAUUAUAUUAAUCAGGAAUAGGUUAAGUCCCUUGACUAUGUUUACAUGGCUGAAAAACCUGUUACUUUGAUGUUGCAUUGGGCUCUAUUUUUAGUCCAUUAUUUCACUCAUUCAUUAAGCACCUAUUGUAUGCCAAAUAGUAUACAGCUAGCCCAGUAUAACUGAAAAGUACUAUACUCAGUGUCCUAGGUUACUUUCUUGCAUGUGAGUAGUUCAUUAUAAGUUAUUUUGGGAAUGGUUGCUGUGAGCCAGGUUCUUCAAGUUGACUGCAUGAGUUAGAAGUGGAAGUGUGGUUGUUAGCAGUAAAUUUUGAUUUUUCCUUUUUGGCUUUGCCAUGAUGUGACAUCUUCUUUUGUUUGUUUUUUCCCCAGUAUCAGGGAUUGAACCCAGGGGCACUUAACCACUGAGCCACAUCCGCAGUCCUUUUUCGUGUUUUAUUUAGAGACAGGGUCUCACUGAGUUGCUUAGGGCCUAACUAAGUUACUUAGGCUGGCUUUGAACUUGGAAUCCUUCUGCCUCAGCCUCCUGAGCUGCAUGCUCAGGUAUGCGCCACUGUGCCCAACUUGACUUUUAUUCUUGGCUAGCCAAAUUCAAUUACAGUUUGCCAGGUUUUCCAGUAACCCUUCUUAGAGAUCUGUGAUUGCCUCAUCUCCUUUAACAGUGAGUAUAAGAGAAUAAGCAAGAAAGAAAAGAAAGAUUUCAGCUAAGCUCAGUGGCACAUGCCUAUAAUCUCAGAUUUGAGAGGCUGAGGCAAGAGAAUCACAGGUUUGAGACCAGCUUCAGGAUUUUAGUGAAACUCUUAUCAAAACAUAAGUAGGGCUAGGGAUGUAACUCAGAGGUAAAGUGUCCUGGGUUCAAGUCCCAUUACCAGAAAUAAAAUAAAGGACAAAAAAUGCCCAUCCUCAAGUUUACCCUUUUUAUUUAUUUAUUUGGUACCAGGGAUUGAGCCCAGAGGCAUUUAACUAUUGAGUCACAUCCCCAGCUCUUUUUUAUAUUUUAUUUAGAGACAGGGUCUUACUGAGUUGCUUAGGGCCUUGCUAAAAUCGCUGAGGCUGGCUUGAAAUAACAAUUCUCUGCCUCAGCCACCUGUACUUUACCCUGUAAUUUAAGAAGAAAGUAAAAAUAAAAAACUGAUGGUAAUCCAGGUUGAAGAAAAGAUAAAGUUUUAAAAGAGAAUGGAUGAAUUUAAGCUGGGCAUGGUAGUGCAUGCCUGUAAUCUCAGCUACUUGGGAGGAUGAGGCAGGAGGAUUAAGAGUUCUAGCCCAAUUUGGGCAACAUAGCAAGAGCCUGUCUCAAAGAGGAUGAAAUGAAAACAACGUUUAGCAAACAGUUUUUGAAUGAUUUGAAAAACUUGGGUAAUAUUGCCAGAAGUAUGUUACUUAUUAUUAUAUUACUUAAUACUAUAUAUUUAGAAAUACAGAUAAUAUUCAGAAGUAGGGUGGAAAUGGAAGUAAAUCUUGAGCCUUAAGACUUGGGCGGGGGCUGGGAUUGUAGUUUGGUAGUAGAGCGCUUGUCUAGCAUGUGUGAGGCACUUGGGUUGGAUACUUGGCACCACAUAAAAAUAAGUAAAUAAAAUAAAGACUUGUAGGGGAAGCUAGGUACAGUGGUACAAGCUUGUAAUCCCAGGGGCUUAGGAGGCUGAAGCAGGAGGAUCACAAAUUCAAAGCCAGUAUUGGCAACUUAGCGAAACCCUGUGUCAAAAUAAAAAAUAUAAAGGGAUGAGGAUGUAGCUUAGUGGUUCAAUACCCAGUACCCCCCAAUAUAUGGGGGGCUGUUUUAUAUAUAUGAAUGACUUGUAGGGGAAAUUAAAGGAGAAACACUAGAUAGGAAGACAGCAAAAAGGAAAAGUACUGAAACUAUUACUAAGAAGAUAAGAAAUUUAAAAUUCAUAAAACAUUUCCAUUGAAAAGCUAUAGUAAUGAUUACAAGAAAGAAAAUAGAUCUAUAAAUAAUACUGCCCAAAGUAUUAAAGGACAGUAAGAAUAAAUUAAUGAAGUUUAUAAAUAUUAAUACCUAGAUAACAAUGUUUCACUAGCUUAUUAACCAUCUUAGCACAUGUUUUUGAAAUACCUUCUUCAUAUAAGUCCUUGAUGCACAAAAAAGAUUGCUGUAGAGAAUGUUAGCUGCACCUCAUGCCCCAUUCUCCUUAUCCUUCUCAGGGAAGGAGUUUACUCAGAAUGGGUAUUUUCUCUUUUAAUCCAUAUCUUGUCUGGCCUUUCAAAUAAGGUGCAAGUAAAAUUUUCUGAGAUAGAUAGUCUGACAUUACCAGAAGAUAGAAGAGAUUUGGCUUUUGGCCUGUGGUAGCCUGCUUUUUUCCCCCUUUCCUCUGUUUAAUGCUUUGAAAUAAGGUCUGGAGAUCAAUUGAAUCUUUGUAGUGUCUGUGAGCUAUCAGCUUCACUUUUCCUUUGCUCAUAGAUUUACAAAUACUGGUAAUCAAAUACUGGUUUUAGUGACUUUUGGUUAAAAGGAAUUUUGUAUGUUAAUACUUGAAGUACAAGUUUCUGUCAAAACCAAGAGAUAAAGCAAGUUAUUUCCUCAGUGUACAAAUAAGCUUCUAGCCUAGCCUGGCAUUUUAUUUUGUAAAAAUAAGUUCCACAAAUUAUAAAACCCAUCAAAAAAUAAAAUACCAUUUGAAGUAGUUUAUUUAUUGUAAGAGAAGAUUUGCCAAGAGAGUUAACCUCUGGUAACUGUUAUCUUGAAUGUGUGUAUAAAUGGGAUUACAGGGAGAUUGGAGCUUUUUGACAAAGGGUCUUAGAGCUGGCAUCAGAAUUUGGCAAUCUUUGCCUGCUUUUUCUGUUUCUAGAGAUGGGAAAGAGCUAAUGGAUUAUGGUUUUCACAGGAUGAAAGGUCCUUUAUAAUAAAUCUUUUUUGAAUUUUGUUUUGUAGGGGGGUACGUUAAAAGCAGUAAAAUCUUCCAAAGGAAAGAAGAAGAGAGAGAGCAUAGAGGGGAAAGAUGGCCGGAGGAGGAAAAAUGCUUCGGACUCUGGGUGUGACUCUGCAUCAAAGAAAUUAAAAGGAGACAGGGGUGAAGUAGACAGUAAUGGGAGCGAUGGAGGUGAGGCAAGCCGAGGGCCCUGGAAAGGAGGUAAUGCCAGUGGAGAGCCAGGGCUGGAUCAGAGAGCCAAGCAGCCACCAUCUACAUUUGUUCCCCAAAUUAACCGCAACAUUCGCUUUGCCACUUACACCAAAGAAAACGGCAGGACUCUGGUGGUACAGGAUGAGCCCGUAGGUGGGGACACACCUGUACCUUUCACUCCAUAUUCUACAGCCACAGGUCAGACACCUUUGGCCUCAGAGGUGGGUGGAGCCGAAAACAAAGAGUCAGGAAAAACACUGGAACAAGUUGGCCAGGGCAUGGUGGCUUCAGCAGUUGUGGUCACUUCCGCCAGCUCCACCCCAACCACGGUGAGGAUCUCAGACACUGGCCUUGCAGCAGGGACUGGGCCGGAAAAACAGAAAGGCAGCCGGUCACAGGCCUCAGGAGAGGUGAGUUGCUCUAGGGGCAGAUUUGCUAGAUUUGUGUUUACUCUCUCACCCUUCCUUAUUGUUAACACCUUCACAGACAUCUCAAAUGCCCUAAGGAAGGAAUAUUUCUGAGAUAUGCUUAAAUUAUAUUCUGUGGCUAGGCCUUUACUGCUCUCCUUGAGCAAAUGUGUACAUUUUAAUAACUUUAUCAGUUUUUAAAAGCCACUUGAACAUCUGGACUCAGCUGCGCAUACCUGUAAUCCCAUCAAUUUAGGAAUCAGAGGCAGGAGGAUUACAAGUUUAAAGCCAGCCUCAACAACUUAGUGAGGUCUUCUCUCAAAAUAAAAAUUGACUGGGAAUGUGGCUCAGUGGUUAAGUGCCCCUGGGUUCAAUCCCCAGUACAAAAAAAAAAAGUCACCUGAACAAUUGGGCUAAUCAAAAACUGGUUAUACAACCCAAUUUAAUGAGAUUUAAAAUAGAUCUGAUGGGGAAUCUUUUUAAUUCAAUUAUCUAUUUAGUUCACCAAGUAGUUGAACCUCCACCAAAUCUGAGAGGCAAGAUUAAUGAAUUAUAGUGUUGGUAAUAGUGAACACUAUAAUUAAGGCUGUGAGUCCAAGCUACCAUUACCCUAUUUUCAGUUCAUCAUUUUCUGUGAUAUUUUCCCUUGAGUCUAGGUUACUUUCCAUCGUUUAGUAUGGCCAUAAAAGUUUUUCCCUCACUAAUUUCAUUCUUUUAAUAAGCCUUACUUGAUGGAUUUAAUCAUAACAGUUAUUGCUUUGGUCUUUAUCUGAUAGGAUUUUUUUUUUUUUUUUUUUGCUAAAAUGGAACUUUUGUUAAAUGUAAGUUAAUGUCAAGUUGACACUGCAAUCCAAAUUUAAGACAGUAUCAAAAUCUAUUCUUUUGGUACUAGGGGCUGUGGCUCAAUGGUAGAGCGCUUGCCUGGUACGUGUGAGGCACUGGGUUUGAUCCUCAGCACCUCAUAAAAAUAAAAACUAAAAGCCAGGCAUGGUGUUGCAUGCCUGUAAUCCCAGCGGUUUGGGAGGCGGAGGCAGGAGAAUCACAAGUUCAUAGCCAGCCUCAGCAAUUCAGCAGGGCACUAAGCAACUCAAUGAGACCCCAUCUCUAAUAAAAAACAAAAUAGGGCUGGGGAUUUGGCUCAGUGGUCUAGUGCCCCUGAGUUCAAUCCCUGAUACCAUAAAUAAAUAAAUAAAUAUGGGGGGGGUUUUUGUCCGUCUACAACUAAAAAAAUAUAUAUUUAAAAAUUGAAUUUCUUACUGAUUUUGGUCACCAAACUGAUUCACAUAGGCCAACUCAAGCUAGAGUAUGAAGUGAAAAGAUGAAAUGCAUAAUGAUUUUUUUAAAGUACAUAAGCCAGCCAUGGAGGCACGUGCAUAUAGGCCCAGCUACUCAUGAGGCUGAGGCAGGAGGAUCAUUUUAGCCGAGGAAUUUGAGGCCAGCCUGGACAACAAUGAGACCCCAUCCAAAAAAAAAAAGCAAAAUAAUAUAUAGGAAACUACUGUGUGCUAAGUACUGUGCAUUAUAAAUAUUUUAAAUCACUACUUAAAGGAACCCACACACCAAAAUAGGAUAAUUUCAGGUAUAACAACACAGAUAAAGCAUGACAUAGGACUGGGUGAUAUGGUUUAAUAGAAAAAAAUCUUGCCUAGCAUGCAUGAGGCCUUGUGUUUGAUCACCAGCCCCACAAAGAACAAAACAAAGCAAACAAAAAACCCAUGGUAUAUAAAUUUCAUCUGACUAAUUCCUAAUUCUAGCAAAUACAAUGUGUUAACCCCUAAUAUAUAGGAAUAGAGAGCGAGAUGAAAUGCCUAGGUAAAAGAGGACUGUAAAUGCAAAUUUCACACUGUUUAUGAUUUUUUCCUCAGUUAGUUGACCUAUAGUCCCAAAAGAACCAGGUGAGGAUCAUAGAUGAGUUUCCAAUGUGUAAAAAAAAAAAAAAAAAAAUCUUCAUAAUUUCUGCACCAUUUAAAAUCAACUCUGUGUUAAGGCAGUAUGAAUGUAAAUGAGAAUUACAAAGUAAACCAAAUUUGUGACCUACAAGAAAAGAUCCAGUGAAUGUCACUGUUCUUGGAGUAGCAAAGCUGAUAGAUGAAAUGUGGAGUCAAUAUUUUUUUCAAAUAGGUUGUAGAAACUUCUGUGAAUAUCAUUUUGCUCAUGUUUUAGCCUCUUUCUGCAGUAUGAUUUAAAAUUACAGACAUGAAUGUUUCUGUUACAAUUCUUAAUCUGAAAUAGAGAAAUAGUUACCAGGACUUUCUUGCCCUAAAAGCUGGAGUUGAAAUCAGUUUGUCAUCGCUUUCUUAUAAGGAAAGGAUUUGGAAUUUGAUCAUUUAAAAGAAAAUGAAAGACCAUCCAAAUUAUUUUUCAUUCAUGUGUGUAUUUAUUUUUAAAGGAUAAUGUUAGUAGUAAAACAUGAGCUACUCGUGCAGGUUUCUUGCAGUCAUACAGAUGUCCAGGCUCUGAGCCAAUCCUGCUAGUGAAACAACAGCAAAAUCUCAGGGCUGUGUCAGUCUUAUUUUGGGUGGUGGGGGCAGGGGGGCAUCUUAAAUCAAUGCUUUUGUAGUUAGUAAGAAAAAAAAAUGAACUUUAAUUUUUUAACUCUAAAAUCUGUCAACAGAUGUCAACUGCAAGCAAGCCAUAGGAAGUGUCCCUGGUUCUUCUCCUUCUAUGUCACCUUUAAGGAUAUUUAGCAUUGUAUCAUUUUAAAAUGUAUGAUUCUUUGGCAUGUAGUACAUUCACCAUGUUAUAAAACCACUACCACUAUGAGAUCCAGAAAUUUUUCUCCUUUAAAAUAAAACCCCAUAUUCAUUCAGCAGUGAUGGAAUAAUUUUUUAUUUCCAAUGUUUACAAAUGAAUGUUUAGGUAUCAUUCUCUACUACUUGAAAGUUGGUUGGUGUUUUUGUUUUGUUUUGUUUUAGUUAAUCUACAUUUCAAGUCAAGUGCUAGGAUCUGAGUUUUAUUAAAUUAACGAGUACUACAUAAGGGCUCAUAGCUACCUAAGAGUGUCUCUGUGUGUGCAUAUGGGUACAUAAUGUAUAUGAAAGUGCCCCUACCCUUAUUUAUACAUAUAUUCAUUCACAUGCAGAAGUUAACAUGGGAAGCAUUAUAUAACAUUUUAUUUUCCAAUUUGUUAGGCUAAGUGUUUUUAUUUGGUGAAUAUUUCAGUAAUGUACAUUUUUCCUUUGGGGACUUUUGUUAGAUCAUAAUUAUAACAGAAGAUCUCAAUGGAUAGCUUUCUUUAUUUUAGCAUCUUUAGGAGUAAUAUUAAUUGCAAAUUUUAGGUAGAUUUAAACCAAUAAAUGGCCAGUUUCCAAAAGGAUCCUUUUGUGGAGUUUCAGAUUAAUAAAGAUACUUUUUCUUUAAUAAGUGGGCUUAUCAUAGAAGUGAAGUUACUUUCUAUAAGAUGAAGAUAUUUGCAAUAGCUUAAAUAAAUCAAAACUUUGUAGUUUCUAAGGUCAUUCAGAUAGAUUGAUAUUACAGAGGUCACUAGGUAAAUUUCAAAGUAAAAGCUGUCAUCAGGAAUCUUCCCACAGUUCCCUAACAGAGUCUCUGUUUUCAAAUACUGUAAAUACUAAAAAGCCUACACACCUUUCUAGAACUGACCCAUUGGGUAACAACUAAAGGAGAGGCAGGUUGAAUGACAUCUCUGGCUCAUCUUGCUAGAGUUAAAAUGCCCUCUGUGGUUUAUGGCAAGUUUUUUCCCUUCCAUUGCUGGUGAAAUCCAGAAGAGCAAAUAAGUAGAAUUGUAGGAGAGAAAAGUUGAUUGAUCAAUUGAUCAAUAAUAAAUAUUGAUUCAAUGAUAGGACAAGAAAGAGCUCAUUAGGUUGUCAUCUGAAGCCAGUGUCACUAAUUCAGGCUAUCUUCCUUUCAGAAUUCAAGAAAUUCUAUUCUGGCCUCUUCUGGAUUUGGAACAUCUCUCCCAAGUUUAUCACAACCAUUGACUUUUGGAAGUGGAAGGAGCCAGUCCAAUGGGGUUUUAGCUACAGAGAACAAACCUUUGGGCUUCUCUUUUGGCUGUAGCUCUGCUCCAGAGUCUCAGAAAGAUUCUGAUCUCUCCAAAAACUUGUUUUUUCAAUGCAUGUCCCAAACGUUACCCACCAGUAACUACUUCACUACGGUUUCAGAGAGUUUGGCUGAUGAUUCCUCUAGUCGGGACUCAUUCAAACAAAGCCUUGAGAGUCUGAGCUCAGGCCUGUGCAAAGGCAGAUCCACUCUUGGAGCAGACACUAAGCCAGGCUCUAAGGCUGGCAGCGCUGUGGACCGGAAAGUGCCUGCAGAGUCCAUGCCCACCCUUACUCCAGCCUUCCCCCGGAGCCUCCUAAAUACCCGCACCCCAGAGAGUCAUGAAAAUCUAUUUUUACAGCCCCCUAAACUGUCCCGAGAAGAGCCUUCUAACCCUUUCCUGGCAUUUGUGGAGAAAGUUGAACACAGUCCUUUCAGCAGCUUUGCAUCUCAGGCAUCAGGUAGCUCUUCCUCUGCUACCACUGUCACCUCCAAGGCAGCAACCGGCUGGCCCGAGCCUCACUCGUCUGCAGAUUCAGCAUCUUUAGCAAAGAAGAAAACCCUCUUCAUUACAACUGAUUCCUCCAAGCUGGUGUCUGGUGUUCUAGGCUCAACUCUUACCACUGGGGGUGCAAGCCUCUCUGCCAUGGGGAAUGGCCGCUCCAGCUCACCCACCAGUAGCCUCACCCAACCCAUUGAGAUGCCUACUCUCUCCUCAAGCCCCACAGAGGAGAGGCCAACUGUGGGACCUGGGCAACAGGACAAUCCCCUCCUCAAAACCUUUAGUAACGUCUUUGGCAGGCACUCGGGCUGCUUUCUGUCCUCCCCAGUAGAUUUUUCGCAGGAGAACAAAGCUCCUUUUGAAGCUGUGAAAAGGUUCUCACUGGAUGAGCGAAGCUUGGCUUGCAGACAGGACUCAGACUCUAGCACCAACAGUGACCUGUCAGAUUUGAGCGACUCAGAGGAACAGCUGCAGGCCAAGACAGGCCUGAAGGGGAUUCCAGAACACCUGAUGGGGAAGCUGGGCCCCAAUGGGGAGCGUAGUGCGGAGCUGUUGUUGGGCAAGGGCAAAGGGAAACAGGCCCCUAAAGGCCGACCUCGGACUGCACCCUUGAAAGGUGAUCCUGCUAGGGACUAUACGUGGGCUUUGCUCUGGCACUUGCCUCAAAAUGCUUGUGCUUUUGUGCGGCAGAUGCCUUCAUAUUGAUGGAAAGUUCUAGAAUCUUAUAGAAUUAUAG